CCUACGGGAUAGCAGCAGUGGGGAAUAUUGCACAAUGGGCGCAAGCCUGAAUGCAGCGACGCCGCGUGAGGGAUGACGGCCUUCGGGUUGUAAACCUCUUUCAGUAGGGACGAAGCGAAAGUGACGGUACCUGCAGAAGAAGGACCGGCCAACUACGUGCCAGCAGCCGCGGUAAU
rnacentral:rRNA from 1 species